rnacentral:rRNA from 1 species
CUGAUCUCGGAAGCUAAGCAGGGUCGGGCCUGGUUAGUACUUGGAUGGGAGACCAGCUAAGAAGACCAGGUGCUGUAGGCA